GACUCACAGGAAUAACUGUGCCACCAAGUCAGAGUUUGAAAGGUACUGGAAUUUUAAGGAAAGAUGACCCUAUUUGAUAAUCAAAGAACUCAAGAGUAAGCCAAAUAUGGAAAUUAGAAUUUGUGAACAAUUUCCCGGUCUCUUUCCUUUCAGAUCAGUUGGUAAGAGUGUUUGCCAUGGUGAAAAGAUGUACAGGUGGAUUUAUAUCCCUGCGAAGGCUGACAGGUGGGGGCCGAUGAAAUGUCUGUUCUAUUGCAGAGCCAAUUGAGUAUCAGCUACUAGGAAAUGACAGAGGGAAGAAUCCCAGGAAAUGAAGCUGCAGUGAUUAAGAUUUCUAAGAAGAACCAGCCUUGUUCCAGCGGUUAGUAUGAUCUUCAGUGUCGAUUUAUGAACAAAGCUAUUC